rnacentral:rRNA from 1 species
CCUACGGGUGGCAGCAGUGAGGAAUAUUGGUCAAUGGACGAGAGUCUGAACCAGCCAAGUCGCGUGAAUGAUGACUGCCCUAUGGGUUGUACACUUCUUUUAUAUGGGAAUAAAAUGUUCCACGUGUGAGAUUUUGUAUGUACCAUAUGAAUAAGGAUCGGCUAACUCCGUGACAGCAGCCGCGGUAAUACGGAGGAUCCGAGCGCUAUCCGGAUUUAUUGGGUUUAAAGGGAGGGGAGGGGGAUUGUAAAGGUCGUUGCGGAAGUUUGCGGGUGAACCGUAAAAAUGCAGUUGAAACUGGUAGUCUUGAGUGCAGUAGAGGUGGGUGGAAUUCGUGGUGUAGCGGUGAAAUGCUUAGAUAUCACGAAGAACUCCGAUUGCGAAGGCAGCUCACUGGACUGCAACUGACACUGAGGCUCGAAAGUGUGGGUAUCAAACAGGAUUAGAUACCCGGGUAGUC